UACGUAGGGUGCAAGCGUUGUCCGGAAUUAUUGGGCGUAAAGAGCUCGUAGGCGGUUUGUCGCGUCGACUGUGAAAACCCGAGGCUUAACCUCGGGCCUGCAGUCGAUACGGGCAGACUAGAGUUCGGCAGGGGAGACUGGAAUUCCUGGUGUAGCGGUGAAAUGCGCAGAUAUCAGGAGGAACACCGGUGGCGAAGGCGGGUCUCUGGGCCGAUACUGACGCUGAGGAGCGAAAGCGUGGGGAGCGAACAGG
rnacentral:rRNA from 1 species